rnacentral:rRNA from 1 species
UCGGGAAACUGAGUAUAAUGCCCGAUAGAACACUAUACCUGGAAUGGUUUGUGUUCCAAAUGAAUGUCGCCGUAGGAUGGGACUGCGGCCUAUCAGUUUGUUGGUGAGGUAAUGGCCCACCAAGACUAUUACAGGUACGGGCUCUGAGAGGAGUAGCCCGGAGAUGGGUACUGAGACACGGACCCAGGCCCUAUGGGGCGCAGCAGGCGAGAAAACUUUGCAAUGUGCGAAAGCACGACAAGGUUAAUCCGAGUGGUUUGUGCUAAACGAACCUUUUGACAGUCCUAGAAACACUGUUGAAUAAGGGGUGGGCAAGUUCUGGUGUCAGCCGCCGCGGUAAAACCAGCACCUCAAGUGGUCAGGAUGAUUAUUGGGCCUAAAGCAUCCGUAGCCGGCUCUGUAAGUUUUCGGUUAAAUCUGUACGCUCAACGUACAGGCUGCCGGGAAUACUGCAGAGCUAGGGAGUGGGAGAGGUAGACGGUGCUCGGUAGGAAGGGGUAAAAUCCUUUGAUCUAUUGAUGACCACCUGUGGCGAAGGCGGUCUACCAGAACACGUCCGACGGUGAGGGAUGAAAGCUGGGGGAGCAAACCGGAUUAGAUACCCGGGUAGUCCCAGCUGUAAACUAUGCAAACUCAGUGAUGCAUUGGCUUGUGGCCAAUGCAGUGCUGCAGGGAAGCCGUUAAGUUUGCCGCCUGGGAAGUACGUACGCAAGUAUGAAACUUAAAGGAAUUGGCGGGGGAGCACCACAAGGGGUGAAGCCUGCGGUUC